rnacentral:rRNA from 1 species
UACGUAGGGUGCAAGCGUUAAUCGGAAUUACUGGGCGUAAAGCGUGCGCAGGCGGUUAUGUAAGACAGGUGUGAAAUCCCCGGGCUUAACCUGGGAACUGCAUUCGAAACUGGCGGGCUUGAAUAUGGAAGAGGGUCGCGGAAUUCCCGGUGUAGAGGUGAAAUUCGUAGAUAUCGGGAGGAACACCAGUGGCGAAGGCGGCGACCUGGGCCAAUAUUGACGCUGAGGUGCGAAAGCGUGGGGAGCAAACAGG